UGGGGAAUAUUGCACAAUGGGCGCAAGCCUGAUGCAGCCAUGCCGCGUGUAUGAAGAAGGCCUUCGGGUUGUAAAGUACUUUCAGCGGGGAGGAAGGGAGUAAAGUUAAUACCUUUGCUCAUUGACGUUACCCGCAGAAGAAGCACCGGCUAACUCCGUGCCAGCAGCCGCGGUAAUACGGAGGGUGCAAGCGUUAAUCGGAAUUACUGGGCGUAAAGCGCACGCAGGCGGUUGAUUGAGUCAGAUGUGAAAUCCCCGGGCUUAACCCGGGAAUUGCAUCUGAUACUGGUCAGCUAGAGUCUUGUAGAGGGGGUAGAAUUCCAUGUGUAGCGGUGAAAUGCGUAGAGAUGUGGAGGAAUACCGGUGGCGAAGGCGGCCCCCUGGACAAAGACUGACGCUCAGGUGCGAAAGCGUGGGGAGCAAACAGG
rnacentral:rRNA from 1 species